CCUACGGGUGGCAGCAGUGAGGAAUAUUGGUCAAUGGACGAGAGUCUGAACCAGCCAAGUAGCGUGAAGGAUGACUGCCCUAUGGGUUGUAAACUUCUUUUAUAUGGGAAUAAAACGUUCCACGUGUGGGAUUUUGUAUGUACCAUAUGAAUAAGGAUCGGCUAACUCCGUGCCAGCAGCCGCGGUAAUACGGAGGAUCCGAGCGUUAUCCGGAUUUAUUGGGGUUAAAGGGAGCGUAGGUGGAUUGUUAAGUCAGUUGUGAAAGUUUGCGGCUCAACCGUAAAAUUGCAGUUGAAACUGGCAGUCUUGAGUACAGUAGAGGUGGGCGGAAUUCGUGGUGUAGCGGUGAAAUGCUUAGAUAUCGCGAAGAACUCCGAUUGCGAAGGCAGUUCACUGGACUGCAACUGACACUGAGGCUCGAAAGUGUGGGUAUCAAACAGGAUUAGAUACCCUUGUAGUC
rnacentral:rRNA from 1 species